CUGGUGUUAUUGCCAGGCCUCUGGCUUUCCCUCAGGCCGUCAGGGCUAGUGGGCAGCAGCCCAGCGGCUCACACCAGAGCGCAGGGCCCCGAACGGAACGGAACGCUGCACCGUCCGUACACAGUGACCUGGAACUGUCAUUGCUAAAGGGUGUUGGAAAUAUUCAGCCCUCACUGAACGUGUGGCUUAGGGCUUCUUGCUCGGUACCUGAAGAUGAGCAGCUCCCUGUUAUCUGGGUCAAGGAAAUUACAUGCAAGAACAGUCUUCCCCUCCCCCAGUUUGUGGGUUUUUUUUUCCUUCUUUUUUCUUUCCCCCUACCUCUUUUCUUCCCCUUUAAGACUGUGGGGCUCAGAGGAUUAUACAGUAAUCCAAGCUCACAACACACUGCAGUCCCGUGCAUGUGGGCUGCUCAAGGCAUAAAAACCUGUAAGGGGAGCAGGGGUGGUAGGGGUGCCCUUGCAGUGAGCCAAGAGGAUGGGGUGAGCUCAAGGUUCAUGAAAGCAGAUGCUGUGAUCUCUAUCUCUUCCUUCCUUCUUUCUCAUGCUGGAGGCUUCACGCUCUCCUCCGCUGCACUAAUCUCACCCUAUGACAGCAAAAUGCCAGAAUAGGGCUGUUUCCCUGCAGGCAGUAAAGCCAGGUGUGCUUGGAGUCUUUUAACAAGAGAACAAGGAAGGUGGUGAGCUUUGAAGAAAGAGGAGUUAAAAACUACUUGUGGUGGAAGACAAAAUUACUUCUCCAAUCCUCUUCCCCCUAGUUUAAACCCUGCUUAAAAUCUCUCAUGCAGAAAAAAAAAAUUCCAACUUCUUCAGUUCAGUUUGUCAAAGGGAAGAGAACAAAAUAUGAGCUUCUUGCCUGGAGCACCUGUGCCUCUAAGAACUGCUGCCAGAGACUGCCCCUCUCCCCUCUCUUGAGCAAACGUAUAGGGGUGAAUAAAUGGAUUUGAGGCAUCAGGCAGGACAGUGGCAAGGCUUGAAUCUGCGCUGGGGUGAGCCAGCUCCAGGAGGUUAACCCAGGGCAUGGGGAAACACCAAAACGCAGCCGGACUCUGCUGUGACACAGCCGUCAGCAGAGAUGGGACAGGGCAGAGGGGGUCCGGUAUAGGCCAGGCUCGCUGGGGACACCCUGUCCAGGAGAAUGUGCCUGGGACCACCUAAAAGAGGUAAAAUGGCUCUGGCCUUGCUCCUUAUGAGCCAGAGUGAGGGAACCAGCUGCUGGCUUGUGGGGUGAGUAAUGCCCUGAUGUCCCUUUGGGACACCAGUGUGUCCUUGCCAGAUGAGCAAGUGGAGUUUUUCUGUUAUUAUGUGUGUAGCACUGUCCAUAUGCUGCAGCAAAAGGGGCUUGAAUCGUGAAGUACUGAAAAUGAGGAUGGAUCUUGCCCCUGCAUCUCCUCCACUACCUUGCGGAGCCAGAGCCUGCAGCUAAGAGAGGGUGAAAGGAUCUGCUGGAUGCCUCUUUCCCCAUUGCUCACACCCCUCCACGUGUGUUGACAGAGCUGUAACUGCGUGAGUACAACCACACCCCAGAGAUGCUCUAACCCUGUGCUUACCAAAGGAGAGGCAGAAAAGCGUCAUCUUCUCCCCGUGACACAUCACACAUGAUCAGCUGGAACAGGAACACCAGCUAGUCCCUGUUCAUCUGACACGAGAGCAGAUGCUGAGAGCAUGGCAAAACACACAGCAAUAUUUUCCUUGACACUGUUUUCUGGCAUCUGGAGAGCCAUGGCUUCUCAAGCCAGAGGUUAGGUUUCAGUGACUAAUAGCUGUGUGCUUGUACAGAUAUUUCUGGCGUGAAGCAAUCUGAUUCUGGCACUUGCAGUGUCCUGCAGCAGGGAGAUCACAAUUUAUCCACGUGCUACAGAGAAGUGACUGCUCUGGUUUGCCACCGUCAGCUGAUUUAAUUUCAUUUGCUGCCCUUUAUUUCAGAGGCAAUAAAAAACUGUUUGCUGUUCACCCGGUAAUACAUACACUUCUGUUCUUUCAUUUCACCCUACUGCUUUUAUGCUAUUUCCCUGAGGGUAUCAACCUGCCUCUGCCACCAGCUCCCAGUCACCCCUUUCCUGGGGUAUGGCCCUCUGGAAGAAGAUCAAGCUUCAUUUACAACGUUCUCUCGUGCUUCAUUUCUCCUCUCCCUGUAGGUUCCUGACCCUGGAGUGGAAUUCAUCAAUGUGAUCUGCAAGAAUGGGAAGCAGCUUCUCCCUGAGCUGGAGUUUAACCCCUGCGAGAGGGUUGUCCAGAAGCUCAGGCAAGAGGGUGAAGCCAGUAUGGCAAAGGUGGUUAAGUGCUCCUCAGAAUAGCAAGAGGUGAGCCCUGAGCCCACUCUAUAUGGGAUGCUGCCUCACGGUUGUGAUUGCUCUGCUUCUGUCAGUGUAAACUUCCAUGUGCUAUGGGUCUGAGGUGAGCCCACCCGGCAGGUUAUGGGGAUCAUUUUAGCAUCGCUUUGAAUGUCACCCCUAUAGGGAUACGCGGGCUGCGUGACGCCAAUGUGCCUACCACCUUGUCCAUACCAAGUGUGGUCUGCUCAGUAUCUUGUACCACCAGCAGCUGGUCCCUGGUUCAGACCCUCCAGCAGAGAAGCGGUGGGUUCCCGUGCCUAGAGACAAGCUGUUGUUGGCAAGCCCACCGCAGCACCGUGGAGAUACAAGCGGCAUGAACAUACAUAGGCAAUGUUGUGGAGGACCUCGUUGACUCCUAUAUGUCAUCUCUCGGGAGCAAUGAGAAAGCUGCAAAGCAUUGUGGCCCAUGCUCACAGCAAACAUCGAUGGAUCAAUCAGUCCCUCCCGUCACCUGCGUUUUCCCUCCCUCUCUCAUCUCUCCCAGGCCGGCACUGCUGAAGGACUGGUGAGAUCACCCCAGCGUUGCAAAGAAAUAAAUAAAUAACCAAAUAAAAAUGCUG